UACAGAGGGUGCGAGCGUUGUCCGGAAUCACUGGGCGUAAAGGGCGCGUAGGCGGUCUGCUAAGCGUGCGGUGAAAGCCCGGGGCUCAACCCCGGGUCGGCCGUGCGAACUGGUGGACUGGAGCUUGUCAGAGGCAGGCGGAAUUCCGGGUGUAGCGGUGGAAUGCGUAGAGAUCCGGAAGAACACCGGUGGCGAAGGCGGCCUGCUGGGCAGUUGCUGACACUGAGGCGCGACAGCGUGGGGAGCAAACAGG
rnacentral:rRNA from 1 species